rnacentral:ncRNA from 1 species
UUGGAAACGUUGAUAGGGAGUAGUAGGCGGUAAGCCCUUCAGAGAGUGGAACUGGUAGCGCUGAAAGGUUCCAUAGGAAGCAACCGAACGAAGUCGCCCUGGAGUUGUGAAUGUGAUUGUAUGCGCCCGUUUAUGCGGUGAGCAGCAUUAGCAUUCGCCGGCCGCAGCCGUUAUCUGUUUGAGAGCCACGCGCUUCUUUUGAAGCUGCGCGGAAUGAAGGUGGUACCACGGAAGCAAGCCUUUCGUCCUUUGC